AUCAGGUCAUUAUAAUAAUUCUUAUAGUUCAAGUUCUUGGGAUGAUUGGGACCAGAAGGACAAUACCACUAAGGCGUCAGCAUCGCAUCAUGAUGAUGGUUGGGCUGGUUGGGAUGACCAUGAUGCUAAAGAUGAUGGGUAUGAUAACUUCUACCAGAGUGCAUCUGAUAAGAAAGCUGCUGGUCAUAAUGGGAAUUCUGAUGGCACAUGGACGGGUGGUGGCUUUCUUUAGGGUUAGAAUAUAUGCAAACUGUUCAGACUUAAUUUUCUGUGCUUGCUGUCACUUUAAGUACUUACUUGAGUGGUAUAAUCUGAUCUUUUGUCGGGAUAAGGCUAUUGACUGUAUUGGAUACUGGCUUACCCAUGGAUUACUAAUGGUACAAGAAUUGUUGGUUGCCGGUUGGAUGUGCAGUUUCUACAUAAGGCAGCUUUAUGAAAGUUUCUUCACAAAUAGAGUGGCCGGGGGGCAUCCUUUUGAUGAGGUUAGUGUCUUGUUGGCAAAUGCAUACUUUCCAUUUUAUUAGAAGCUUCUAUGUAUCUUCAUGGAAGGUUUGGUAUGUUUGUAGUUCAUAGCUGAUUACCCAAUCAAAAGAGGACUGCUAUUUAUGAGUUGAAAGACCAUUUUUGUGCCCUGAGGUUUAAAAUUACUGAUUGUAAUAACUGCAGUUCAUUGUUUUCGUAGUAAUUUUAUUUCUACAUCUUAAUUUCA